GGGAAUAUAUUCCCAUAUUGGGUGUACUGUCUGAGGAGGCCGUAAUGGCCGCGCUUCGCCGGUGCGCAGUCCUUCUGAAACCGCAGACGGUAACGAAGCCUGCACGCGGACGACUUCAGCUGUGUGUGCUUGUCGGUAACUGACAAGUCACUUCGUCCGGCAUUGAACAGCCGACUUAGUACUGGCACGGACCCGAGGAAUCGGACUGUAUAAUUGAAACAAAGCAUUGCGACGGCUGGUAAUCGGUGAUGUCACAAUGUGAUUUCUACCCAGCGCUCUGAAUGCCAAAGUGAAGGAAUUCAACCAAGAGCGGGUAAACGGGGGGAGGUAACCGUGACUCUGUUAAUAUAUAUAUAUAUAUAUAUAUAUAUAUAUAUAUAUAUAUUCCGGGUG
rnacentral:ncRNA from 1 species